rnacentral:rRNA from 1 species
AUUGAACGCUGGCGGCAUGCUUUACACAUGCAGGUCGAACGGUAACAGGCCUUCGGGUGCUGACGAGUGGCGAACGGGUGAGUAAUGCAUCGGAACGUACCCAGAGGUGGGGGAUAACGCAGCGAAAGCUGUGCUAAUACCGCAUGUGAUCUGAGGAUGAAAGCGGGGGACCGAGCAGCAAUGUUUGGCCUCGCGCCUUUGGAGCGGCCGAUGUCGGAUUAGCUAGUUGGUGGGGUAAAGGCCUACCAAGGCGACGAUCCGUAGCUGGUCUGAGAGGACGACCAGCCACACUGGGACUGAGACACGGCCCAGACUCCUACGGGAGGCAGCAGUGGGGAAUUUUGGACAAUGGGCGCAAGCCUGAUCCAGCAAUGCCGCGUGCGGGAAGAAGGCCUUCGGGUUGUAAACCGCUUUUGGCAGGACGAAACGGUGUCCGCUAAUACCGGGCGCUAAUGACGGUACCUGCAGAAUAAGCACCGGCUAACUACGUG